CCUACGGGAGGCAGCAGUCGAGAAUCAUUCACAAUGGGGGAAACCCUGAUGGUGCGACGCCGCGUGGGGGAAUGAAGGUCUUCGGAUUGUAAACCCCUGUCAUGUGGGAGCAAAUUAAAAAGAUAGUACCACAAGAGGAAGAGACGGCUAACUCUGUGCCAGCCGCCGCGGUAAUACAGAGGUCUCAAGCGUUGUUCGGAAUCACUGGGCGUAAGGCGUGCGUAGGCUGUUUCGUAAGUCGUGUGUGAAAGGCGCGGGCUCAACCCGCGGACGGCACAUGAUACUGCGAGACUAGAGUAAUGGAGGGGGAACCGGAAUUCUCGGUGUAGCAGUGAAAUGCGUAGAUAUCGAGAGGAACACUCGUGGCGAAGGCGGGUUCCUGGACAUUAACUGACGCUGAGGCACGAAGGCCAGGGGAGCGAAAGGGAUUAGAUACCCGAGUAGUC
rnacentral:rRNA from 1 species